rnacentral:rRNA from 1 species
AACGAACGCUGGCGGCAUGCCUAACACAUGCAAGUCGAACGAUACCUUCGGGUCUAGUGGCGCACGGUUGCGUAACGCGUGGGAACCUGCCCUUAGGUUCGGAAUAACUCCCCGAAAGGUGUGCUAAUACCGGAUAAUGUCUUCGGACCAAAGAUUUAUCGCCUUUGGAUGGGCCCGCGUUGGAUUAGCUAGUUGGUAGGGUAAAAGCCUACCAAGGCGACGAUCCAUAGCUGGUCUGAGCGGAUGAUCAGCCACACUGGGACUGAGACACGGCACAGACUCCUACGGGAGGCAGCAGUGGGGAAUAUUGGACAAUGGGCGAAAGCCUGAUCCAGCAAUGCCGCGUGAGUGAUGAAGGCCUUAGGGUUGUAACGCUCUUUUACCCGGGAUGAUAAUGACAGUACCGGGCGAAUAGGCUCCGGCUAACUCCGUG